UGGGGAAUAUUGGGCAAUGGGCGCAAGCCUGACCCAGCAACGCCGCGUGAAGGAAGAAGGCUUUCGGGUUGUAAACUUCUUUUAUUGAGGACGAAACAAAUGACGGUACUCAAUGAAUAAGCCACGGCUAACUACGUGCCAGCAGCCGCGGUAAUACGUAGGUGGCAAGCGUUAUCCGGAUUUACUGGGUGUAAAGGGCGUGUAGGCGGGACUGCAAGUCAGAUGUGAAACCCAUGGGCUCAACCCAUGGCCUGCAUUUGAAACUGUAGUUCUUGAGUGAUGGAGAGGCAGGCGGAAUUCCGU
rnacentral:rRNA from 1 species